rnacentral:rRNA from 1 species
AAUCAACGCUGGCGGCGUGCCUCAGACAUGCAAGUCGAACGCGAAAGUCUCCUUCGGGGGACGAAGUAGAGUGGCGCACGGGUGGAGUAACACGUAGGUAAUCUACCCUCGGAGUGGGAAGUAACAACCGGAAACGGUUGCUAAUACCGCAUAAUGCAGCGGCACCUAAUGGUGGACAGUUGUUAAAGACGGGGGAGUCAAAGAACCUCGCGUCUGAAGAGGAGCCUGCGGCGGAUUAGCUUG